rnacentral:rRNA from 1 species
AUUGAACGCUGGCGGCAGGCCUAACACAUGCAAGUCGGACGGUAGCACAGAGAGCUUGCUCUUGGGUGACGAGUGGCGGACGGGUGAGUAAUGUCUGGGGAUCUGCCCGAUAGAGGGGGAUAACCACUGGAAACGGUGGCUAAUACCGCAUAACGUCGCAAGACCAAAGAGGGGGACCUUCGGGCCUCUCACUAUCGGAUGAACCCAGAUGGGAUUAGCUAGUAGGCGGGGUAAUGGCCCACCUAGGCGACGAUCCCUAGCUGGUCUGAGAGGAUGACCAGCCACACUGGAACUGAGACACGGUCCAGACUCCUACGGGAGGCAGCAGUGGGGAAUAUUGCACAAUGGGCGCAAGCCUGAUGCAGCCAUGCCGCGUGUAUGAAGAAGGCCUUCGGGUUGUAAAGUACUUUCAGCGGGGAGGAAGGCGGUGAGGUUAAUAACCUUGCCGAUUGACGUUACCCGCAGAAGAAGCACCGGCUAACUCCGUGCCAGCCGCCGCCGUAA